rnacentral:lncRNA from 1 species
AAAUCAAGAAAGUAUAAUGUUGGCAUUUGGUUAAAUCGAAUCGGGUACGCCCAUAAGCGGGUUCGAUCCGACGGAUAUUAUGUUAUCUAAUUGGAUUGGAAUUAAUCUCGCUUUCAAAUUGGAAAGCUAGUUAGAGAUAAUCCUAGUCAUAUUAGGAUAACAAUUAAUAACUGAUUUGGCCUUAUCUCUAACGCUAUUAGGAUUUUGGAAUCCCUUAUAAAUAUGCGGGCGAUCCCACAUAACAAAAGGAACAAGAACGGAAAAAAAAAAAGAAUAAGAAAACGAAAGAGAGAAACCACAUCCUCCAUCAACCUAUUAUUCUAAGAGGGACUUGAACGGUGGAUUUGUGAUCGUGCUCAUUUGUAGUUCGAUCCAUCGCGAGUUUGGAAUGUGAGAAGAUUUAAUCAAGGACGAUCAAAGGACACGUGAAUCAACCUCGACGAUCCGGACUCAUCGAGUCGUAACGCGAAUCGCUUCCGUAAAAAGGUACGAACGAAUACUUUCGCUGCGUUCUACAUUGGUAUCAGAGCCUUAUUAGGUU